GACGAACGCUGGCGGCGUGCCUAACACAUGCAAGUGGAGCGACGAACCAGGGCUUGCCCUGGAGCAAAGCCGCGAACGGGUGAGUAACACGUGAGUAACCUGCCCCGAAGAUUGGGACAACCCGAGGAAACUCGGGCUAAUACCGAAUGACCCCCCUGGGUUUACGCCCAAUGGUAAAAGGAAGCUUCGGCCUCCGCUUCGGGAGGGGCUCGCGGCCCAUUAGCUAGUUGGUGAGGUAACGGCUCACAAAGGCAACGAUGGGUAGCUGGUCUGAGAGGACGAUCAGCCACACUGGGACUGAGACACGGCCCAGACUCCUACGGGAGGCAGCAGUGGGGAAUCUUGCGCAAUGCGCGAAAGCGUGACGCAGCAACGCCGCGUGGGGGAAGAAGGCCUUCGGGUUGUAAACCCCUUUCAGGAGGGACGAAGGUGCGACGGUGAAUAGCCGCUCGCACUGACGGUACCUCCAGAAGAAGCCCCGGCUAACUACGUGCCAGCAGCCGCGGUAACAC
rnacentral:rRNA from 1 species